rnacentral:rRNA from 1 species
AACCUCUUUCAGUAGGGAAGAAGCGAAAGUGACGGUACCUGCAGAAGAAGCACCGGCUAACUACGUGCCAGCAGCCGCGGUAAUACGUAGGGUGCGAGCGUUAUCCGGAAUUAUUGGGCGUAAAGAGCUCGUAGGCGGUUUGUCGCGUCUGUCGUGAAAGUCCGGGGCUUAACCCCGGGAUCUGCGGUGGGUACGGGCAGACUAGAGUGCAGUAGGGGAGACUGGAAUUCCUGGUGUAGCGGUGGAAUGCGCAGAUAUCAGGAGGAACACCGAUGGCGAAGGCAGGUCUCUGGGCUGUAACUGACGCUGAGGAGCGAAAGCAUGGGGAGCGAACAGGAUUAGAUACCCUGGUAGUCCAUGCCGUAAACGUUGGGCACUAGGUGUGGGGACCAUUCCACGGUUUCCGCGCCGCAGCUAACGCAUUAAGUGCCCCGCCUGGGGAGUACGGCCGCAAGGCUAAAACUCAAAGGAAUUGACGGGGGCCCGCACAAGCGGCGGAGCAUGCGGAUUAAUUCGAUGCAACGCGAAGAACCUUACCAAGGCUUGACAUGUUCUCGAUCGCCGUAGAGAUACGGUUUCCCCUUUGGGGCGGGUUCACAGGUGGUGCAUGGUUGUCGUCAGCUCGUGUCGUGAGAUGUUGGGUUAAGUCCCGCAACGAGCGCAACCCUCGUUCCAUGUUGCCAGCACGUAAUGGUGGGGACUCAUGGGAGACUGCCGGGGUCAACUCGGAGGAAGGUGAGGACGACGUCAAAUCAUCAUGCCCCUUAUGUCUUGGGCUUCACGCAUGCUACAAUGGCCGGUACAAUGGGUUGCGAUACUGUGAGGUGGAGCUAAUCCCAAAAAGCCGGUCUCAGUUCGGAUUGGGGUCUGCAACUCGACCCCAUGAAGUCGGAGUCGCUAGUAAUCGCAGAUCAGCAACGCUGCGGUGAAUACGUUCCCGGGCCUUGUACACACCGCCCGUCAAGUCACGAAAGUUGGUAACACCCGAAGCCGG